rnacentral:rRNA from 1 species
GGCGUAGGGCGCGAGCGUUGUCCGGAUUUAUUGGGCGUAAAGAGCUCGUAGGCGGCUUGUCGCGUCAACUGUGAAAACCCGUGGCUCAACCAUGUGGUCUGCAGUCGAUACGGGCAGGCUAGAAUUCGGUAGGGGAGACUGGAAUUCCUGGUGUAGCGGUGAAAUGCGCAGAUAUCAGGAGGAACACCUAUUGCGAAGGCAGCUCGCUGGGACGUAACUGACGCUGAGACGCGAAAGCGUGGGGAGCAAACAGG